UACGUAGGGUGCGAGCGUUGUCCGGAAUUAUUGGGCGUAAAGAGCUCGUAGGCGGCUUGUCGCGUCGAAUGUGAAAACUCGGGGCUCAACCCCGCGCUUGCAUUCGAUACGGGCAGGCUCGAGUUCGGUAGGGGAGACUGGAAUUCCUGGUGUAGCGGUGAAAUGCGCAGAUAUCAGGAGGAACACCGGUGGCGAAGGCGGGUCUCUGGGCCGAAACUGACGCUGAGGAGCGAAAGCGUGGGAGCGAACAGG
rnacentral:rRNA from 1 species